rnacentral:lncRNA from 1 species
GGCCAUUCUCGGGGAGGACUGUGUGCUCGCUGCCAAUCAGCAGAGUGGCACAGGGACAGAGGCUUUUUGAUGCGCCGUGGAUCACUCGAAGAGGGUGUCAGCGUUGGCCGUUGGCCUGCCGCGUCUCACCUGCCAAGUGACGGACAACGAGAACAUGGCGACACGUGCUGUCCCACGCGCCGAGAGUGACGGCUCCGGCCGCGCUUUAAUCUUUCAUCCCUCCGCCGAGAUCACUCGACUGCGGCUUUGUUUCCGACCAGCCGGGCACAUGUGGAGGGCCAGCUUUGUACCUGACUUUCAGAAAUGCGCUUCAUUAUUGAUCACUUAAUGCCAAACCUACUCUCGCAUCACCAGCAGUGAAUCAUCUACCUGGACAACAAAGGCCAAACACAUAAACUGUGGCAGCGGCAAAUACCACGUGUUUGCCCAGAAAGAUUCAAUUGUUCAAAAACCAAUUAGGCUCACCGGUCUCUUCGCCCUGAGAGCGCGUGAUAACAGAGAGCAUUCCCAAAAAUGCCGCCUUGUCCUCAAAGCGGCCUGUCAAGAGUGCAUGAAAUGCUUCAUUGCAUAAAAUGUACAAUGUGUUGAAUAAAAUUUAGCUUGAACACA